rnacentral:rRNA from 1 species
UACAGAGGUCUCGAGCGUUGUUCGGAUUCAUUGGGCGUAAAGGGUGCGUAGGUGGCGGGGUUAGUCAGGUGUGAAAUCUCGGGGCUCAACCCCGAAACUGCACUUGAUACUGCCUUGCUAGAGUACUGGAGAGGAGAUUGGAAUUUACGGUGUAGCAGUGAAAUGCGUAGAUAUCGUAAGGAAGACCAGUGGCGAAGGCGAAUCUCUGGACAGUUACUGACACUGAGGCACGAAGGCCAGGGGAGCAAACGGG